rnacentral:rRNA from 1 species
AUUGAACGCUGGCGGCAUGCUUUACACAUGCAAGUCGAACGGUAACAGGCCGCAAGGUGCUGACGAGUGGCGAACGGGUGAGUAAUGCAUCGGAACGUGCCCAGUCGUGGGGGAUAACUACUCGAAAGAGUAGCUAAUACCGCAUACGAUCUAUGGAUGAAAGCGGGGGACCGUAAGGCCUCGCGCGAUUGGAGCGGCCGAUGUCAGAUUAGGUAGUUGGUGGGGUAAAGGCUCACCAAGCCAACGGUCUGUAGCUGGUCUGAGAGGACAACCAGCCACACUGGGACUGAGACACGGCCCAGACUCCUACGGGAGGCAGCAGUGGGGAAUUUUGGACAAUGGGCGCAAGCCCGAUCCAGCAAUGCCGCGUGCAGGAAGAAGGCCUUCGGGUUGUAAACUGCUUUUGUACGGAACGAAACGGCUCUGGUUAAUACCCGGGGCUAAUGACGGUACCGUAAGAAUAAGCACCGGCUAACUACGUG